rnacentral:lncRNA from 1 species
CUCCUAAAUAGAGUCAAAAUGUCAAAUGGAUGAAUUUAAAAUAAAACGAACACCUAAAUUUAGCUGUUUCUCUAGGACACUUAUAAUUCUGCGUCAUUUGUAACCGACAAAAAAUAAUGUGACUUGGAUUAGUUAAACUCUAAAUAGUCAUCCAAAAUCUCCAAUACACCCAGGAAACCUCAUUUUCAGUAAUUCAAGUAACAUCCAUAGAAUGCCAGUCUUCUAUAAUAACUACGUUUUUGGAUGCAACAACAUAAUCUGGAGCAAAUAAUCAAUGAUACUGAUGGGUGGAAAAGAAGCAGCAAGGUCUCGUGGCGGUGGACAAGCAUCCUAACCUGGAAAUUGAAGAUGGCAACGUUGGAGGCUUAAACGUGCCUCGAUAAGAAUACAAGUCUGUCAAAUUGAAAUCUUGAUUAAUACUAUAGUACACGGACAAAUCAAGUACAUAUGCAUCAAUUCUAAAGUGUUUG